GCCCUUAGAGUUUGAUCCUGGCUCAGAACGAACGCUGGCGGCAUGCCUAACACAUGCAAGUCGAACGAGACCUUCGGAUCUAGUGGCGCACGGGUGCGUAACGCGUGGGAACCUGCCCUUUGGUUCGGAAUAACUCAGGGAAACUUGAGCUAAUACCGGAUGAUGACUUCGGUCCAAAGAUUUAUCGCCAAGGGAUGGGCCCGCGUAGGAUUAGCUAGUUGGUGGGGUAAUGGCCUACCAAGGCGACGAUCCUUAGCUGGUCUGAGAGGAUGAUCAGCCACACUGGGACUGAGACACGGCCCAGACUCCUACGGGAGGCAGCAGUGGGGAAUAUUGGACAAUGGGCGAAAGCCUGAUCCAGCAAUGCCGCGUGAGUGAUGAAGGCCUUCGGGUUGUAAAGCUCUUUUACCCGGGAUGAUAAUGACAGUACCGGGAGAAUAAGCUCCGGCUAACUCCGUGCCAGCAGCCGCGGUAAUACGGAGGGAGCUAGCGUUGUUCGGAAUCACUGGGCGUAAAGCGCACGUAGGCGGCUACUCCAGUCAGAGGUGAAAGCCCGGGGCUCAACCCCGGAACUGCCUUUGAAACUAGGUAGCUAGAAUCUUGGAGAGGCGAGUGGAAUUCCGAGUGUAGAGGUGAAAUUCGUAGAUAUUCGGAAGAACACCAGUGGCGAAG
rnacentral:rRNA from 1 species